rnacentral:lncRNA from 1 species
AUAUAUUCAUAUGUAUUUGUGUACGUGUACACAGAGGAAGUAUGGAAAGAUACAUUAACAUGUCAUAGUGUGUUUUACUUGGUCCUCGUACUAUAAAUUAUUUUAUUUUAAAUUGUUCUCUUACACUGUUAAAAGUGGUCAUUUCAGUGCUUUCCUGGUUCUUGAGAAGAGUGAUUUCAGAAGUCUUAUUCAGUGAUCAUAUUGUAUUUCAGUAUCAGCACUGAUGUUGAUAUAUUUAGGACUGACAUUGUCACUAAGACCCUGAAGCCAUUUGUAUAAAUGAACAUUGCUUUCUAUUCUGUUUAACAAAUGAUUUUGAAGAGAAGCCCAAAUUCUAAGAAACCCUAAAGAUAUCUACUUAAGAGCAUAGUCUUAUCUAUAGAUAAAAUACAAGAGGACCAGAUUGAGAAGGAGGUGGGAAGUGCCAUGCCAUCACGCAGAUGUUUAAUGUUCUUUUGAUAGUUUAAGUUUCACAUGUCUCUAAUAAAAGAUGCCACUGUACGUAUUAGUGGCCUCUAUCCUUUUAGGUUGUGCUACUGUUUGGACUGUUGUGUUUUUUAUGAAAAUUGUAUUCUUGCCAUUUCAGAAGAUUAAUGCCCUCAGAUCUAAUUAUUGUACUGUUGUUCUCUGGUGGUUUCUUUGUUUGCACAUGGUAAUUAUAGAUCUCAUUAAUUGCUCAUGAAACUACCAUCUUUCCUUUUUAUUUUGGCAUAUAUUUCAAAUGCCCAUUGUAACUUCCUGUCUUGAAAGUGGCAGAUCUAUUUCACUGCAGUACAGCAGUCAUAGUCAUUCAUCUUUUGCAAAGCCCUGCACAGGGAGAGCCCUUAGCAGGACAUCUGCACUGCUAGUUCCAGGCUGGCCUGAGUGUGGGUGUCAGUUUAAGUCUCCACAGAACACACCUUGCCAUGCCAGCAUGCAUCUUUAGCAUUGCCAUAAUUGGGGGCUGUAUUUGUUGCUUCCCUUGGCAACCAAAUGUCCCACCACAGCAAACUGAUGACUGUAAAGCUGACCUUUGUGAGAGCCUUUUUAUUUAGUUACCCCAGAAAGAUUUACAGCAUUAUAGUUUGUGCCCACAUAGACUACUAAAUGGGAACUAUAAAAGAAUGAUUCUAUCUUACAUAUCCUUUUUAUUUUCUGAAAGCCUCGGCAGUAUUAACCAAGCAGAUUUUCACAUUUGAACAUCUCCUCCUGUAUAACUCAAUGAGAGUUUUAUGAAACUAAAUCGUCUUAUUUAUGUGAGGUACAUAUCCUGCUAUCUGGUGUCAAUUAAGUGCUUCCUCUAAAUUUGACCACCUAAAAAUGACAAAUGAUUGCAUGCAGAGUACUGGAAGCAAACAAGGAAGCAACAACGACAACAACAACAAAACCAGAAAUUCUGUGGGGAAAAUCCAAACUACAUAGUAAUUCAAAUCACGUCAUUUGAAAAUAAUGAGAAUUUAAUGAGUAUCAUAUUAAAAAUACUCUCUCAUUCCUAGAGAUAAAGCACAGAUUUUCACAGUACCUGGGUUUUCUACGCUUCCUUUGGAGAGUGUCCAUAGAAAAAGGUAACAUCUUCAGUGUGGAAGGGAAGGGUGAAGGCCACGCCUAGAGCUGCCCAAGAGUUCUUUGAAGCAUAAGCACAAGGCUUCAUUUGUGAACUCUGACUGCAAAGGCUCUCGAUGGUGCUAUUAACAGACAAAGGAUUGUUCCUGGAGGUAAGGGCAUGGGAAAAUGUGCUGUGGAGCUUUGAGGAUUGAGUAGAUAGCAGGAUCUGAGCUCAUUGUAGGUAGCACAAUUGUAGGCUAUCACGGCCUGUUCUAGAGGCCUGCUCUAUGAAGACAACGGAGAGCCCAGAGCAGAAGAAGUAGUGGCCACUACAGUUCACAGCUCUGUCUCUACUAAUAAAUCUGAGUAGCCAUCAGCCUGCAGUGUGCUCAUUAUUCAAAACUUUAUCAAAUUUCAACAAGUAUUUUAAAAACAAACAAACAAACAAACAAAAAAUGUGAGCCUAUCUUCUUCUUCCCAUAAUAAUGAAGUAGUUUUUGAGUUUUCUAAUUUUUAAACAUAGUGUUAAAUACUAAUAAACUAAAUCCUGUUUUGCUUUUGAAUUGGUCUUUUGCUAUACUAUGUUAUAAACUUAAUAUUUGUAUUUUCUUUAGUUUUAAAAAAGUAAUACACCCUCAUAGUAUUAAAAUAUAUCUUAGAUUCUUCAAAGUAUUAGUAAGGCCGCAAAAAGCCACAAGAUUUUCACACAAAAAGAGAAGAAUAUACAAGUACAUAAUAAGAAAAAUAACCAUUGAAACAAUUUUGCUAAAGAUAUACUGAGAAGCAUUGCACUCACUCCUGUCUUCUCUGUCUCAUUUCCUGUCCCCACAGGCUCUAGAAAAAAAUCAAUACCUCCUAUGUCAAUUCUAUAUCAGCCAAAUUUCAACCAAUAUUGCAAUUAGUAGUUUGUGUAUAUGACAUUUCUUCUUCUAUUGGCAGAAUAUAUUUCAAUAAGUGGAAUUGCUGCACCAAAUAUAAAAUAUGUUUGUCACUUUAUUAAAUACACCAAAAUUGCCCCAGUGGGUCAAAUGAUAAAUGAAUGCACUUGCCAUUUUGUGAAAUAGGUCAAAAAUUGUCCUCUUUAGAUAUUCUCACUGUAAAUGCAUGAAAAUGCCCCUUUUGUACUACAUGGGGAUGAAUUAUGUUGAAACAAAUUUUGUAAAACCAACAGGCAAAAACAUAUGUCAGGAUAGCUCAAAUUUGUAUGCUGUCCCUAUGAAUGAAGCUGGGCAUCUUCUUAGAUCUUGAUUAAGAGUGUUAGGGAGAGUUGAGAGCCAGACUGAUCUGAUUGUCCCAUCCUGUAGCUGAUGCUCACAGGCAAGUAUGUCAGGAAAAUGGUGUGAGAUGACGACUUGUUGAAAUUACAGAGCAAGUAAACAACAGUGCUCAGAGUAAUGCCCCACACAUAGUAGGGUCAGAUUUUUUAAAAUGCCUCUGUAAUCAAGAGGGAAUAUAAAUGCAUCCAGCGGUUUUUAAUUGCUCAGCCUUAGCUCUGACCAGACAUAAAAUAAGAGUGCUGUUCUCAUAAGGUCACUGGGUAAUGCCCAGGCCAACCAGAGGAAGCAGAGACUUUCAAAAGACACUAUCAAAGCCUUUCUAAGACUUGCCUCCAAAGCACGUCUGAUCAUUUAUAAAUGCUUCCUGUUUCCUUCACAGUCAUGUCUGGGCAGCUUCAUUCCUGUUCCUGCCAGCCGAGUCCCAGGGAAUGUCUCAUUUCAGAAGCUGUAAUUUCUUGGUGCUUCCUGAACUGCUAACACUAGAUUUGUUUUCAGUUCCCAGUUCCUCUGCUGAGCACAUUGAAGAGUUCCAGAAAAGAUUUGCUGCUCACAUCAAGCCUGAGCCAUGGUUAAGUCAAGCCUGAGUCAUGUUGAUGCUCAGCUUGUAGUCAGUGGGUGAUCUGAAACACAGCUUUAAUGAGUGUUUAUGGUUCGCUCCUUUAUCUUGGUUUCUCUGAAAACUCUAAGCCAGUCUUCUACUAGUCCCCACGCCAGAACCAAUAGGACAGUUCCUACAUACUUUCUUUAAAGAUCUGUUCAGAGUUUCAUAUUCUCUAAAUUCUUUAUAGUAUUCAAGACAACAUAAAUGGGUGGCUUUGUUAAGAAACCUCUGCAUUUCUGUCCAAGGACUUGUUCAUGUAAGCUAGAUUUUCUGUAUUGCAGGAUGCUGAGAGCUCUGGAAAGCCCAGGUGCCUGGACUCUCUGUAUUCCUUGUUGCCACAAAGCUUCUGCUUCUGCCUUCAAAGUCCUACAAAUACCAGAGAAUGAGUUUAUGACCUGAAGUGUCUGCUAAAUAUUUUAUCGCCAUAGUUUACUGAGCUCUGAGAAAGGGGCAGGGACAGGAUAUCGACAAUAUGGGAAUUCACUAGAUAUCAGAAAGUUUUCUUUCAAUUUUCACUUCUUACUUUUCUCUCUCCAUCUAGAAAUUUUCUAAAAGUUGUGUGUGCAUAUGUAGCAAGAGUCAUGAGAGCAGGUGAUAGAAGAGGCAAGGCGAAAAUGUCAGACUCUCUGAAGCAGGUACAGAUGAUUAUAACCUACCUGACAUAGGAGCUCGAAACCAAACUUGAGUCCUUACAAUGUUCUUCACUUCUGAGCUAGCUCUCCAGCAACCCUAUCAUGUAUAAUUUUGAUUAUUUGCAUUGUGCUAGUCAGAGGCUGCACUGACAGACACAUUUUAUAACUAAAUACUAGUCUCCCAGAGGCAGCCAGGAUCCCAACAGUUUAUACAAUUUUACUGGAUACAGAAAAAUUCAUGGAUGCCUCCCAAAGUCUUAUCACCAAUAAAUAGUGAAAUCAAUUGAACUUAGAGCCCUGUCACAUGAAUAAGGAGUUCUUUAUUCAUUUGAAAAGUUAUUUUGCUGUGGAAGAAAAUUAAACACUAAAUGAAUAACUCAUCUGAUGUCCCCUGAUGUGCACUCAAAUUAGACUAGUGGACAGGAGGGCAAGCAGUAUUAUACAAGUUCAAAGAAGGCUGAGAUUGGGUUAAGAAGGAGUUGGGAUGACAUCACUUGGUGUGUAGUCAAGCUAUGAGGUUUGCAGAUCCUUCAGGUUGAGUAACAACAGUAACGAGUAGAUGUCUUUGUCAUGUAUUCUAUAUAUUUACUGUUCUGAGCCUGACAAUACAUAUACAGAGUGAACUAUAUUAUCUCGGCCUUAUAUGGGAAAUCUGAAAAUACACUGAGGAUUUUCCAUGUGGCUAGAAGUUUGGGUUAAGAGCAUUUCCAGAGCAAUUGUGUCAGCACACCUUUACCAGCUGUCCUUGGUUGUGUUCUUUGAAGCGGGGCAGACACAUCAGACCCCUGGAUAAAUACAGUUUCCAUCUACAAUACUGGAUUUCAGUGGCAGAUUUAAUUCUUAGCUUUGACUACCACAAAGCCAUUGUUUCAAAAUAAAGUUAGAAUUACUUAGAAAAUCACAAUAUAAAGUUUGUUUUUAAAGAACAAAAGAAAUUCUCAGUUGAAAAGUAGUAAGACCAUGAUUUAAGUAGAGUUAGUUAGAAACUGCUUUCUGAAAUACUUCUUUACCUUUCAAAAUGUUACAUACACAUAUGAUACGGAUGCAGUCACUUAUGGCAGGAUCCAUUAUACAAAUAUAUUUACAACUUCCAAAUGUCUAAAACCUUUAUUCUAACACACAUACUCAGGCUUUCUGUUUUCACAGUGAUUAUUUCAAAAGACAAUAUGUUUCCAGUAGAUGAGGUUAAGGGAUAUUGUUUUCUCUUUUGUCUGUUAUUCUUUGUUGGUCUCAUCUCUAAUAAUUCGUCCACAACAACAACAACAUGACUUGGAAAAAGGAAGAGAAAACAAUUAGAAGAUGGUUAAUUAUUGAAAUAACCCAUUACUUUCUAUGCUGAAUAAAGAAUUGUUAUCUAGUGUAGAAGGACAGAUUUAAAUAAAUGUGAAGUCUAAACACAUCUGUUUCUUUGUUUGAUUUAAGAACAGAGAGUUCUUUUUUCCUUUUUCCUUUUUUUCUUUUCUUUUUUUUCCUGUUGACUUCUCAAGGUAAGGCAUAGAAGAAACAUACUAGAGAGAUUUCAUAAAACAGUUCAGAAAAGCAAUGCUUUUUUUCUCCUCCUAAAUUAUGGUCCUAUUCUCUUCUCAGCUUGUACAAUUAGAAAGAGCUUUUUAUGUCGUGGUUACUCAACUUGAGCUUCAUGGAUCUACCAAAGAAAUAUGGAUUCUUUUCAAAUCAGCUUCCCAUAUGAAGGCAGUUCUAUUUCACCUUACAGCUGAGUUAUAGACAAAUUCCCAAAAACAUGUUCAUGAAGUUCACUUUCAAAAUACAUAAUCAUCAUGACAUUAAAUUGGUGGAUUUGAGUAUGAUGGUAUGCAUAUGUGUAUUUAUUCAAAAUACAUCUUUUUGUUUUGUUUUCAUUCAUUUCUUGUUUUUCUUUUAUUGAAAAUGGAUUUUUCCCCCAACAUAAUGUGUCUGGAUUAUGGUCUCCUUUCCCCUUAUUUCACCCAGUUCUUUCCUAUCUCCCCUCCCUUCUGGAUCUACCCCCUUUCUCUCUCUCAUUAGAAAAAAAAACAGGCUCCCAAGAGAUAAUAAUAAUAAAAUAAAAUAUAAUAAGAUAAACAAAAACCAAAACAUCAGAUUUGGUCAAGUCCAGCAUGCAGACAGAAAAGGGCCCAAGAGAAAGCAUAGUAAUGAGAGACCCACUUGUUUGCACAUUCAGGAAUACCCCCUAAAACACUAAACUGAAAACCGUAAUACAUAUGCAGAGGAGCUGAUGCAGACCCAUGCAUGCUCUCUCAGUCUCUGUGACUUCAUAAGAGCAUUGAUCAUGGUGAUUUAGAGGUCUUAUUUUGUGGAUAUCCUCCAUUCCCUCAGGCUUUUAUCCUCUUCCAUGAGGUUCCCUGGUCCCUGGGGAAAGCAUAUUGUACAUAUAACUUUUUUUUUUAAUUGCAGGUUCCUUAGGGAACUAUUGAACUCUUCUAUCAAUUGCAGAUGAAAAAGAAAUCAAUUUUGGUCCAAAUGACAAUAACUGUAUCAUCAUUUUAAAGCUUUUAAAACUAUUGAUUCAAUGAUUGCAAGAUUGUUUUUAUCUUUGACUUAGGUUCCUAUAAAAAUGUAAACUACAAAAUGAUAUUUUCCAAUAGUGCAGAUAAGCUCUAGAUAAAUUUGAAUGUUCAAAUAUUGCUGAGUAGUGGCUGUGCAUGCCUUUAUUCCCAGCACUUGGGAGACACAGGUAGGCAGAUUUCUGUGGGUUCAAGGUCAACCUAAACUGCAGGUAGAAUUACAGGCCAGCCAGGGAAACACUACAGUUUGUGAGGGAACAGGAACAACAAACUUGAGAUAAAGCUACUGUGUAUGCCCUUGUAAUGUGCUGCAAAGCAUCGGCUAGUGCUGCUGCCAGUGUGGAAGGCCAUUGCACCCUUAGCAGGGAGUGGGAAUGCCAGAGGGAGCUUCUAAGAGGACGAGUGGCUUAUGCCCAAUACUUGCCAAGCUUGGAAUUGAAUGAGGAUUACUUCAUUUUAUUUAUUCAAGAAAUUAAGUUAUGAUUUACACUUGUGUGUUAUUCUAUCCAAAUACAAUUUCUAGUUCUUUAAAGGUUCAUAUUCAUUCUCUGUCCAGUCAUGCUAUCCUGUAAACAGUAUUCAGUCACAAGAAUGUUUCAAUCUCUAUGCUCUUGCAUUAUUGAACACUCUGAAUAUUCCCCAGGCCUACUCACUCUGAAAACACUUUUCUACCAUAUGCAACUGUCUGAGAAAAUCUACUUGUAUGCAGUAGAUUGCUGUUAUUCAUUAUUCAUUACAACAUUAUUUAGUUGAACAACAUACCAUAGAAAACUUGGUUCUGUUGUGGGAAAUGUACAAACUCGGAGAACUAAAUUAUUUUACUAUAAAUGCUUUAAAAAGAGCAGGCUUUAUGGUCCUCAUUAUUUCCUCUGUGCUGAGGAAACAAGUUUUCUCCAAUGGAAAAUAAGCCAUAAAGGCAGAAGCUAUGUGAUACACUGUAUUCAAUAAAAGUUGGAGGUCUAGAUUCUGCUAGCAACACAGUAAAUGAAUACGAAAAUCUCAUUAAAAGUUUUACAAUUGACAAUCAAUAAGUAUUUAGUGAGUAGCCACUAUGUUCCAAGAACAACUUAAUUUCAAGAAAUACAAAUUUUAUCACCCAUAAAAUGUGGCUGCCCUAUACCCUUGAUUGAUAUUCCUCGACAUGUUGAGGUAAAGGACAUUUUUAACAAGAUAUAACUCUAACCAGUUGCUGUUUCUCUUUGCUACAAGAGGAAGUUCUACAAGAAGAAGGAAGGUUGCUAUAUUUCUUUGGGCAGUAGUAAGUAAUAAUAUUCCCAGUCAAAACUUAUCCAAUAUUAUAAACCAUUAGGUAUAAAAUAUUUUCCACACUUCAACUUCCCCAUGUCUCUUCUGACUUUGAUGUGCAGGAAAAUAACUAUUUUCUUACCAGAGGCUGGUUUGACCUACAGAAAAUUUAUAAAUAUUCUGCCUUGAAAGUUCUAGUUGUACAAAUGACCCCAAAAUAAUAACUCUAUCUUUUUAAAAUAUUUUAUUUGUGUGUGUUUGGGGGGGGGUAAGUGCAUACAUGCUCAUGAGAUCUCCAUGUAGCCUGAGCUUUUGACUCUUGUCCUCUGAGUUAACUGUUUCUGAAGGUCGUCUAAAAAUUUUAAAUUUUGAGUCUGAAACUUCCGGUGAGUAAAUAUGGUUGGGUGUGUGUCAUAGUUAACGGAACGUUUGUCUAGCAUACAGAAGACUGUGGUUUUCAUCAUCAUGGCUUCAAAGCAAGGCAUAUAGAUGCUUUCCCUGAUAUUACCUGAACUAUGCUGAACAUUGUUGUGUGUUAUUGUAUUACAGUUUUGCAAAUUGUUAGCAUUAGAGGAAACUGGGAAUGCAGUAUAACAGACUUCUUUGUAUGACUAAAAAAAUGCAUAUAAAUUUAUAAAUUAUUCUCAAUAGACAGCACAAACAUAGGCAAAUGCUAUGUUUUCUAAUUAGCUUUCCAGUAUGACUGAUGUAUAUCAGAGCAGAGAAAAAUUUGCAAGAUGGGGGAGGUGAGGUGUAGCUCAGUGGUACAGAGCUUGCCCUGCAUGCAUAAGGGUCUAGCUUCAACGUCAGUAUUGAAGAUCAGGGAAGGCCCAAAACAAGUGUAAAACUGAAGUUCAUAUUGAGGUUGAGCUUAAAGUUUACAAACAUAAAGUAGUUGAGAUCAAAAUAAUGAAUGUUGAAAUUCAUUAACUACAGCCAAAUGUGUCUUAGCUUCAUUUGCCUUGGGCAGAUACAUAUUUUAGAAAUGACAGCCAUUUAAAGCAUCUAAAUGAAGUAAAUUUUAAACCAGACUUCAAAUCACUAUUUCCACAAAUGUGAAGCUAACAUUUUCAAACUAAUAAAAUAUAAUGUCAUGGUUUUUAUUAAAAUAUUGUAAAUGAUAAUGUCUCAGUGAUUGUAAAGGCAUUUUGAACUAAAAAAGAAAUAACAUAAGGUUAUGAUUAGUUGCAUAUAAACUUGUGCUGUCAUAACUACAGUCAUUUAUGGGGAAGACAAUAUUCAAGUAUAUUUUUAUUAGAAUGUUGGUAUGUUUUCAUUGACUAGUACAUAAUGGAAAUGUACAGAGUACCUUGGUCUUCAAGAGACAGUGUGACUGACCUGAAAUAAAAGGAAUUUGUUUCCCAGUCUGUGUGUCUGCCCAUUUUAUCCACACAAUUUGCAAACUGCUUUGCAUGGUGCAAGGUCUCACUUGGUCUAACUCUCCUUAUCUUCUCCAUUAUUAUAUCGGAAUAUGUUCUCCUUCCCUUCACCAUCCCCUUGUUUUCAGCAUGCUCACCUUUUACCAUCCCUUUGACAGUGUUCUCCUGUGUCUAUCGAGUAUUGCAAAUGGUGUUGACUUGGUUCUUAUAUUUGUUCUUUAUCACCUUGGACACCUCACAUACUAAGGAUCUCUAUGUAUCAGGCUAUUGUUUGUUGUAAUGCUGCAUACUUAAUGGGAUUACACUCCUCAAAAUGUGCCUAAAUUCAGUUUCCUGGAUUCCUCUAUGGUAUCUAUUACUCUAUAUGGAUCAAAUAUUUUGCCUCUGCUUCUUUCUCAAGGAUGUAAGUUCCUUGACAAAAAUGACAAAGUUGUUAUGUCUGUGUGCCUCUGGAAAUUUGACUGCCUA